rnacentral:lncRNA from 1 species
AUGUAUUUUAUCUUGAGAGCUGACGCACUGGGCUCUCAACGUGGUGUGGAAAGCAGCCUGUUACAGUGCUGGAUUCAUAAAAGGGCCUUUAUGGUUUGUGAAAGAAUAUCUGUGUGCUUAGGCAGGAAACUUUUUGAUCUGCAGAAAAGCCAGAAGACAUCUAGAGUAUCCUUGAAGAUUAAUCAGAGACCUUUUCAUGCACCUAUAAAGAUCAACCACUUCAGAAGAACCAGAUUCCACUUCUGUGGCCAGGACUUUUAUGUUAUGGCUGGUCCGAUUGUUAGACCCUGCGUUCUAUGCUACUAAACCUUGGAUCAUUCCUAAAGUACCAAUUCUGUUCUUGAACCACAAACAAGGCUAAAAGAUCGGAGGAAAUUCAGUGAAUAUACAGGAUUGGGAUUGUGUAUUUUCAAAAGUAUUGAGCUUUAUAAUGCAAUUAUUUAAGAAAUAGAAUCUUUUUUCUCUUCUUCUCAUGUUGCCAGCAUUUUAAGUUACAUGUUUAUUAAGUGGCAUUGCUCAAUUAGCUCCAGAGUAUGCAUGGAAAUAUUUGCUGUCUGAAUAGUUUGGAGAUCCAAAGAGAAAAAUCAAGCUUUGGAGGUAUUAAAUUAUGACAUGCAAAAAAAGUUUUUGUUUUAUUCUUAACUGCAACAGUAUAUAUUUAAAUCAGAUUUAAACUGUUAUAUGUCCUUGGCCCACCUUAACAGUUGUACUAUAUAGAAGUGUAAUGAGAAGCAAAAUUUCAAUUAGGGUCCCAUUAACUGGCAUAUAAUCCUUCUUUAAUGUAAUAGAGGCUAUGGUGUUUCUGUACAAAUCUGCUAGAAACAGAUUUUAACCCAUUUUUAGUCUCUCUCUUUGGAUCUGAUGGAAUGACUCUUAACUGUUCAUUGUCUGCAUUGUUUCUCAUAUUCUUCAUUAUUUUAAGGUCUGGAAUUAGUCUAUGAAUGGUCGUCGUGAAUAUUCAGUUAAUCCUAACUUUUAUAUAUCAUAUAUAUUUCGACGUAUGUAUUUUAAUUAGUAUUUGGAGGAAAAAGUUUAACUGAACCCAACUGUAAUUUCUAAGCUAGCCUUAUUACUGGAAGAAGAAUUCUACCGCACGAAACCAG